rnacentral:rRNA from 1 species
UACGGAGGGUGCAAGCGUUAUCCGGAUUCACUGGGUUUAAAGGGUGCGUAGGUGGGCAGUUAAGUCAGUGGUGAAAUCUCCGGGCUUAACCCGGAAACUGCCAUUGAUACUAUCUGUCUUGAAUACCGUGGAGGUAAGCGGAAUAUGUCAUGUAGCGGUGAAAUGCUUAGAUAUGACAUAGAACACCAAUUGCGAAGGCAGCUUACUACACGUACUAUUGACACUCAGGAGCGAAAGCGUGGGGAGCGAUCCGG